UGGCUUCAUUAAUUCAGUUAUCCGUUUAUUUUGAUAGUACCUUACUACAUGGAUAACCGUGGUAAUUCUAGAGCUAAUACAUUGCUAAAGCCCCGAACUUGUCUAGGGGUGAAUUUAUUUAGAUUUCAAAACCCAAUUGCCCCUUCCGGGGCUCCUUUGGGUGAUUUCAUGAUAACUUGCUCGGAUUCGCAUUGGCCCUUUGUGCUUGGCGAUGGUUUCAUUUCAAAUUUUCUGCCCCUAUCAACUUUUCGAUGGCUGGGUCUUUGGCCCAGCCCAUGGUGACAACGGGUAACGGAGGGUUAGGGCUCGACCCCCGGAGAAAGGAGCCUGAGAAAACGGCUACUACAUCCCAAGGAAGGCAGCAGGCGCGCAAAAUUACCCCACUCUCAAAACGAGGAGGUAGUGACAAUACGUACUGAUACAGGGCUCUUUUGGGUCUUGUAAUUGGAAUGAGUACAAUUUAAAUCCCCUUAACGAGGAGCAAUUGCAGGGCAAGUCUGGUGCCAGCAGCCGCGGUAAUUUCCAGCUGCAAUAGCGUAUAUUAAAGUUGUUGAGGUUAAAAAGCUCGUAGUUGAAACUUGGGUCUGGCUGGCUGGUCCGCCUCAUCGCGUGCACUAGUCCGGCCGGGCCUUUCCCUCUGGGGAGCUGCAUGCCCUUUACUGGGUGUGUCAGGGAACCAGAACGUUUACUCUGAAUAAAUCAGAUCGCUUAAAGAAGGCCUAUGCUUGAAUGCUCUAGCAUGGAAUAAUGGAAUAGGACGUGUGGUUCUAUUUUUGUUGGUUUCUAGGACCGCCGUAAUGAUUAAUAGGGACAGUCGGGGGCAUCAGUAUUCAAUUGUCAGAGGUGAAAUUCUUGGAUUUAUUGAAGACUAACUACUGCGAAAGCAUUUGCCAAGGAUGUUUUCAUUAAUCAGGAACGAAAGUUAGGGGAUCGAAGACGAUCAGAUACCGUCGUAGUCUUAACCAUAAACUAUGCCGAUUAGGGAUCAGACAGUGUUAUUAUUGACCUGUUUGGCACCUU
rnacentral:rRNA from 1 species